rnacentral:rRNA from 1 species
CUUUGAUCCGAAGAUUUCCGAAUGAGGAAACUCACUUAGAGUAAUGUCUAAGUAUCAUUAAGUGAAUACAUAGCUUAAUGAGGGGAACUCAGGGAACUGAAACAUCUAAGUACCUGAAGGAAGAGAAAGAAAUUCGAUUCCGUAAGUAGCGGCGAGCGAACGCGGAUUAGCCCAAACCAAUAAAGUUUUCUUUAUUGGGGUUGCGGACAUAUCAUAACGAAGAGGUAUCGUAAUUGAAGAGGUUUGGAAAGCCCCACCACAGAAGGUAAUAGUCCUGUAUGUUAAACGAGAAGACUUCAGAUAUGAUCCAGAGUACCACGGGACACGUGAAACCCUGUGGGAAGCAG